rnacentral:piRNA from 1 species
AUCCACCGUCAAGGAGGCGUCCGA